GAGGGGAGAGGCGGGGGAGGCUCCCGCUCGCUCCCUCCCUCCGCCGCCGCUGCUCGCGAGAAACUCCCCUCCCGCUCAGUGCCCGCCGCUGCUGGGCGGGCUGCCCGGCGCCAUGCGUGCGCCCCGCACCCGAGCUGCCACACGGGGUGGGGGGGGGUGCCUGCCUGCCUCGCUCGGCCCUAGCCGAGGCUCCCCUGCCGGUUCAGCUCCGCCUUGCCCUCUUCGGCAGCCGCUGGAAGCGCCUGGGGGCUUUGGGACCGGACAGCGGCUCUGCCUCCCGCCCGCGCGUGGCGCGGCCGUGAGUGUCAAGUGCGGGGCUCGCUCUGCAAAGUCUCCUUUCCUGCAGGAGUUAUUGCGAAGAAAAAUAUUGGAGAAAAUCAUUCCCACUAAAAAUCCAAGCAGCCACAAUGCUAGAUUAUAACAGAAAAUGUCUCUCAGCAUCCACUUUAAAUGUUAACCCCACGCACCCAAAGUCACAGUAAUGACCAAAUCCUGCCCGUGUGAUUUAUAGAAGUAAUCCCAUUUACUUCAGGGAAACCACCUACUUGACUAAGGGGAAGCUUAAGCCUCAAGAUUGAGAUUCCAGUGCUGACUGGACUGCCCUGAAUAUAAACAUUGGACUAUAACCUAUGGACCAAUUCUGAAAUAACUUUUUGCAACUACAAAGCUCACCAUCUCUGCUAUGAAUCUGAACCUCAAGAAUUAUACUCUUGUCUAUUUGUAUACUGAUCUGUUAACCAA